UACGUAGGAGGCGAGCGUUGUCCGGAGUUACUGGGCGUAAAGGGUGCGCAGGCGGCCCGACAGGUGUGUGGUGAAAUCUCCCGGCUUACCUGGGAGGGGGCCACGCAAACCGUUGGGCUUGAGGCUCGGGGAGGGGCGUGGAACUCCGGGAGUAGCGGUGAAAUGCGUAGAGACCCGGAGGAACACCAGUGGCGAAGGCGGCGUCCUGGCCUGCGACUGACGCUGUGGCGCGAAAGCUAGGGGAGCGAACGGG
rnacentral:rRNA from 1 species